UUGUUGAUAUUCCUGUACCACCUCCUCACCAUUUGAGCAAUGGGGGGACGCAGGAGGAUAGGGUAAGCGCGGUAUUGGAUAUCCGCGUCCAAGCAGUUAGGCUGGGAAAUAGGCAAAUCCGUUUCCCAUAAGGCUGAGCUGUGAUGGCGAGCGAAAUAUAGUAGCGAAGUUCCUGAUUCCACACUGCCAAGAAAAGCCUCUAGCGAGGUGAGAGGUGCCCGUACCGCAAACCGACACAGGUAGGCGAGGAGAGAAUCCUAAGGUGAUCGAGAGAACUCUCGUUAAGGAACUCGGCAAAAUGACCCCGUAACUUCGGGAGAAGGGGUGCUCUGUUAGGGUGCAAGCCCGAGAGAGCCGCAGUGAAUAGGCCCAGGCGACUGUUUAGCAAAAACACAGGUCUCUGCGAAGCCGUAAGGCGAAGUAUAGGGGCUGACGCCUGCCCGGUGCUGGAAGGUUAAGAGGAGCGCUUAGCGUAAGCGAAGGUGCGAAUUGAAGCCCCAGUAAACGGCGGCCGUAACGAUAACGGUCCUAAGGUAGCGAAAUUCCUUGUCGGGUAAGUUCCUACCCGCACGAAAGGCGCAACGAUCUGGGCACUGUCUCAACGAGAGACUCGGUGAAAUUAUAGUACCUGUGAAGAUGCAGGUUACCCGCGACAGGACGGAAAGACCCCGUGGAGCUUUACUGCAGCCUGAUAUUGAAUGUUGGUACAGCUUGUACAGGAUAGGUAGGAGCCUUGGAAACCGGAGCGCCAGCUUCGGUGGAGGCAUCGGUGGGAUACUACCCUGGCUGUAUUGACCUUCUAACCCGCCGCCCUUAUCGGGCGGGGAGACAGUGUCAGGUGGGCAGUUUGACUGGGGCGGUCGCCUCCUAAAAGGUAACGGAGGCGCCCAAAGGUUCCCUCAGAAUGGUUGGAAAUCAUUCGCAGAGUGUAAAGGCACAAGGGAGCUUGACUGCGAGACCUACAAGUCGAGCAGGGACGAAAGUCGGGCUUAGUGAUCCGGUGGUUCCGCAUGGAAGGGCCAUCGCUCAACGGAUAAAAGCUACCCCGGGGAUAACAGGCUUAUCUCCCCCAAGAGUCCACAUCGACGGGGAGGUUUGGCACCUCGAUGUCGGCUCAUCGCAUCCUGGGGCUGUAGUCGGUCCCAAGGGUUGGGCUGUUCGCCCAUUAAAGCGGUACGCGAGCUGGGUUCAGAACGUCGUGAGACAGUUCGGUCCCUAUCCGUCGCGGGCGCAGGAAAUUUGAGAGGAGCUGUCCUUAGUACGAGAGGACCGGGAUGGACGCACCGCUGGUGUACCAGUUGUUCUGCCAAGGGCAUCGCUGGGUAGCUAUGUGCGGACGGGAUAAGUGCUGAAAGCAUCUAAGCAUGAAGCCCCCCUCAAGAUGAGAUUUCCCAUUCCGCAAGGAAGUAAGAUCCCUGAAAGAUGAUCAGGUUGAUAGGUCUGAGGUGGAAGUGUGGCGACACAUGGAGCUGACAGAUACUAAUCGAUCGAGGACUUAACC
rnacentral:rRNA from 1 species